GGGUCUGUAGCUCAGGUGGUUAGAGCGCACCCGAUAAGGGUGAGGUCGGUGGUUCAAGUCCACUCAGACCCACCA
rnacentral:tRNA from 1 species